UCUUGUGGCCGCCUGGGGGAGCCGGCGCCCCGAUCAGCUCCCCGUUCACCGUCACGCCUCGGAGGCAGAGGGGAGAGGACAAGGGUCAGCGGACCAGCCCACCUUCCAGCCACCUGCACGCGAACAUCUGAUAGAAUCUCCUCCCUCCUCUGUCCUUGACUCUGAAUCUCCGGCCCCAUGAAGUCUGACUCCCGGGUAGGUAGGGGCCGCUCAGUCCUACCGAGUGAAUGAGCGAACGUGUGAAUGAGUGAAGGCAGGAAGGUAUGAACCUACCUCCCCCAUCUUUCCCGUAUCUUGGGGUGGGGGCAGCAAAGAGGGGGCGUGGGUCAAGAUACCACAGAAGGAGGUGUGCAUGUCUGUUUGCCUUUGUCCCUGGGUCUGGUUGUAGUGACGAAAGUCCUGCAUGGCCCUGACGCCCAUUUCCUAUCCGCUAGUUUCCGCGGAUCCUGAUGUGGCGAUCCCGUGAUGCCACGGGCAGUGUGGGAGAAUGUGAAGAUUAACAUCUUUUCUAGUCCAAAGACUCAGGUUCUGCACCUCCUAGCCGCUCUACAGACUGAAGGAGAUCAGAGCCCUUGUUAGCUCGGUGUUCAGUGCUCACAGAGCUGUGGGCUUCGCAUCCCCGUCGCCGAGGAACCGGGAGAGAGCACUGCGGGACUCCGGCCCUCCUGCUGUUCGAGUCCUCGACUGGAAAGUCACGAACUCCACAGGACCCGUUCAUUUACAAAACGACUUCAGAUCCAUUACUGACAACAGCCUGGUGGGGCUGCCCGAGGAAGUACCACUGUCUCCGAGCUACGAGGAGCACGUGUGCCCAAGGCCACGAAAGGAGUCACGUGAGAGCAAUGCUUCCAACCCACGUCGUCGUGACACCGCGCCCCACACCCAGCCCAGUGCCGUCAGUGUGUGGUAUGUCCCCUUACACACACACACACCCAUCGCAAGGACGGAGGGGGCUGUGAUACCUACCUUAACCUUGCCCAGAGGUCACAAGGGAGGGAAGAACUUACCAGAAUCCGCGUGAUCAGAGACGAGCCUCAGGAUGUCCCCCGGCUGCCCGUCGAUGUUGAAGCAGACGGUGAGAUUGCUCAGGGGGAAAUCCACGACAAAAUGGGGGUCUCCAUCCACUGCCAGGCCAGCAAGAAACAGGACAGAGAAAGAAAUUUACCGGGUGCUUUUCGCGUGUAAACAGUCCCUUCUGAUUUCUCCGAAGUCAGUUAGCUAGCCUGUCCCUCAUCCUCCGUGUCUGCGUGAGGAAGGGGCCAGGCGGCUGAGGCACCAGGGUUACCACGUGCGGAGUCUGUGGACUCAGGUCCCCGAAACCCAGACGCGAGGCUUUCGCCACACCGCAAAGAUCAUUUCCUUUCUCUUUGGCCUCCUGUCCCGGGAAGAGACGUGGUGACAGCCCUCCCACGCCUGUGACCACAGCGCCACGGCACUGGAGACCGUGACAUACAUGGUCCCCGAAGGACAGUGGCAACGGCCAAGCCCGGUGCAUGGCGGUGACCAGGAAGGGUGCAGGGUCACUGGGGGUGACAGUGGAAACCCCCACCCUGGGGCACGCCGACUUAAACGCUCUCCAAAGUUUUGCCUACAGAUGAGACCGCAGAGCGUGGCCGGCCCCUGUUCCUUCCCACUGUCCUCAUGGUCACCUCUGCUGAACAUGAACCGCCUUGCCUCGUACUGUCCAGGCGAAAUAGUUCCCGACAGUCCACAGCAAUUCCCCCUCCCUCAGGAGACGGGACAGUUAGUUGCCUUCUAACUUGCAUGCCGAACACAACGUGUCUGGGAACUCCUCUCCGUUUUACGUGCACGUACCCGCCUGAGCAUAUGGUCAGUCUUCUCAAGUCACAAGCAAAUUCAUGUCCUUGGCAUGACUGCUGAAAACCCCUUUGUGUCCCCAGGGUGACUCACAAAGGCCCACGGAAGAAUCUGGCUGAUCUCACCGUGCAGUGACCAAAGCAUCCUAUGACUAUAUAAACAGAUACAAGGUACUGGUCUUUUACAGAUGGGGGGACCCGGGACGCCCAUAGCAGGUUAACAGUGCUGUGCAUACUUGUGGCCCUCCCUAGGUCUGAACACAACGAUGUGACAGUUCUUAGAGGGUUUCUUGUGCUCAGGCCACGUCACUUCUACUCAAAUCAUCCGGAUCGUUCUACAGGGAAAGACGCUCCUUAUUCCAAAAAGGAGAGGGAGACGUCUGAACGUCAUCACUCCACACGGCAUCCAAGAGGGAAGGAAGUUCCCUCGCACUCCACAGAGCACAUGUGCGUUAGGAACCGUGCGCUCUUAUCCGUCGGAGACGGCGCGCACCCCCUCCGCACGGCUAACCUCGGGGACGCUCCCAGCUUUGUGAACCUGUGCGUCCAGCACGAUGGCAGCGAGGCGAUGACAGAGACUCACCGAGGAAGACGUGUGCCCUUUAAGAAUACAACCCUGUCUUUGUGUUGUCA